UAAUACGAAGGGGGCUAGCGUUGCUCGGAAUCACUGGGCGUAAAGGGCGCGUAGGCGGACCCUUAAGUCAGAGGUGAAAGCCCAAGGCUCAACCUUGGAAUUGCCUUUGAUACUGGGGGUCUAGAGACCGGAAGAGGUGAGUGGAACUGCGAGUGUAGAGGUGAAAUUCGUAGAUAUUCGCAAGAACACCAGUGGCGAAGGCGGCUCACUGGUCCGGUUCUGACGCUGAGGCGCGAAAGCGUGGGGAGCAAACAGGAUUAGAUACCCUGGUAGUCCACGCCGUAAACGAUGGAUGCUAGCCGUUGGCAGGCUUGCCUGUCAGUGGCGCAGCUAACGCUUUAAGCAUCCCGCCUGGGGAGUACGGUCGCAAGACUA
rnacentral:rRNA from 1 species